rnacentral:rRNA from 1 species
UAGUCCACGCCAUAUACGAUGGGUACUUAGGUGUCGGGGGUAUCGACCCCUCCGGUGCCGCAGUUUACGCACUAUGUACCCCGCCUGGGGAUUAUGAUCGCAAGGCUGAAACUCAAAGGAAUUGACGGGGCCCCGCACAAGCGCUGGAGCAUGUGGUUUAAUUCGACGCAACGCGAAGAACCUUACCUGGGCUUGACAUGCUUGGGACAGCGCUGGAUACAGCGUCUCUCCUUCGGGAGCCCUUGCACAGGUGCUGCAUGGCUGUCGUCAGCUCGUGUCGUGAGAUGUUGGGUUAAGUCCCGCAACGAGCGCAACCCUCGUUAAUAGUUGCCAUCAGUUCGGCUGGGCACUCUAGUGAGACUGCCGGUGAUCAACCGCCGCGAAGGUGAGGAUGAUGUCAAGUCAUCAUGGCCCUUACGCCCAGGGCUACACACGUGCUACAAUGGUCGGCACAAAGGGUCGCUAAUCCGCGAGGUGGAGCUUAUCCCUNNAAGCCGCCCUCAGUUCGGAUUG